CAAAAACAUCGCCUCCUGAUUAAACAUAAGAGGUCCAGCCUGCCCAGUGAUAAUAUUUAACGGCCGCGGUAUACUGACCGUGCGAAGGUAGCAUAAUCACUUGUUCUUUAAAUAGGGACUCGUAUCAACGGCAUCACGAGGGCUAUACUGUCUCCCCCCUCCAAUCAGUGAAACUGAUCCCCCCGUGAAGAAGCGGGGAUUUAACUAUAAGACGAGAAGACCCCAUGGAGCUUUAAACUUAACAUGUACCCAUAUAAUUAUUUAUCAACUUAACCUCAAGACCUGCAUGUUAGCUUUCGGCUGGGGGGGCCACGGAGUAAAAUUAAACCUCCGCAACAAACGGGCAAAUACCCUUAUCUACGACUGACAAAUCCAAGAAUCAUCAAAAUGAUGUUUAGUGAUCCGACAAUUCGAUCAAUGAACCAAGUUACCCUGGGGAUAACAGCGCAAUCCGCUUCAAGAGCCCAUAUCGACAAGCGGGUUUACGACCUCGAUGUUGGAUCAGGGUAUCCUAGUGGUGCAACCGCUACUAAUGGUUCGUUUGUUCAACGAUUAAAACCCUACGUGAUCUGAUUUCAGACCGG
rnacentral:rRNA from 1 species